UAUUCUGCAAAAGCAGUCUUCUGAAUGGGGUUUUAUUGAUGGAAAGCCAGCCAAGAAUGAGCCUAACCAAAUUAGUCAAAGCAGAAGAUGUUUAGAAAGGACAGUAGGCAGUCAUCAUGAUCACAGCCAUGAGCUGCAAAGCAGUCCUGAAGCAGCCUAGAGUCGUGGGACAUAAAAUACACCUCUGCCAUCUCUGGCAACCCUUGCAAUUAAAUUAAUUUGCCUCGUCCAGAUCCGCCUGUCUGACCGAGUAGGGAUGCUAGCUGGAUCAGCUCAUAGGUAGGGCACAGAGGAGAGCGGCCGAGAUGAGAUUGAAUUCAUAGCUACUGAGAAUGUAGUAUAGCAGGGAAGAGCUCUCCAGGGCUUACUGCACCAUUCCUACAUGUGUGAUAUCCUGGUGAAAAUGAAGCUGCUAAGAGGAACCUGGCUUGGAUCAUAUAUAAAGCAUUUUUCACAAGCUGCCUGUGCGUGCAGCAUCUCCAGAGUACUGAACAUAAGUCUGUCAUCACCAUUCUCAGAGCACAGAUUGCUGUGAGACCAUGAGCAAGCAGAGCAGGGUAUUUUUCCUGCUCAUCCAGGGAACAGCAUGGUCAAGAAGAGGUGGGGGACAGCAAACAAACCUGUUUCUUUGCUCAUCCGUGCCUCUGAGAAUGCAAGGAUGCAGAGGAGCUCUGGUUCGUCGCUACCAUUGGGAGGAGGUAGCAGAUUUUGGAGGCACUUACACAAAGUAGCUGCUAAUAGGCCAAGCGGGUGCUUGUCUUCUUUCCUAAAGCCAGAGAAGGAGGAAUCAAACCACAGCAGGAAGCUUUAAAUGGAAAAAGGCACUUAAUGUUGAACAACCAUCUCUCCUAUCAGAGUAUUAAAAGCCAGCCUCCAGGAUAUCAUUGCCAUCUCAAUCUGUGCAGGAUGAGACCACAACAAAUAAGCAGUAACACUCAGCGAGGGAAUAUGCUGUUGAGGACAGAUCAGCCAUAGGGAGUGAUGAGAACAGG